rnacentral:rRNA from 3 species
UACGAAGGGGGCUAGCGUUGCUCGGAAUUACUGGGCGUAAAGGGAGCGUAGGCGGACAUUUAAGUCAGGGGUGAAAUCCCGGGGCUCAACCUCGGAAUUGCCUUUGAUACUGGGUGUCUUGAGUAUGAGAGAGGUGUGUGGAACUCCGAGUGUAGAGGUGAAAUUCGUAGAUAUUCGGAAGAACACCAGUGGCGAAGGCGACACACUGGCUCAUUACUGACGCUGAGGCUCGAAAGCGUGGGGAGCAAAC